AACGCGAAGAACCUUACCUACCCUUGACAUCCUGAGAAUUUUGUAGAGAUACGAAAGUGCCGAAAGGAACUUAGAGACAGGUGCUGCAUGGCUGUCGUCAGCUCGUGUUGUGAGAUGUUGGGUUAAGUCCCGUAACGAGCGCAACCCUUAUCCUUAGUUACUAACACGUUAUGGUGAGGACUCUAAGGAGACUGCUGGUGAUGAACCGGAGGAAGGCGGGGACGACGUCAAGUCAUCAUGGCCUUUAUGGGUAGGGCUACACACGUGCUACAAUGGGCAGUACAGAGGGAAGCCAACCCGCGAGGGGGAGCCGAUCCCGAAAAGCUGUUCGUAGUCCGGAUUGGAGUCUGCAACUCGACUCCAUGAAGUUGGAAUCGCUAGUAAUCGCGAAUCAGAAUGUCGCGGUGAAUACGUUCCCGGGCCUUGUACACACCGCUCGUC
rnacentral:rRNA from 1 species